GAGUUCUCGUUGAUGAUCGGUGCUUGCACCGAGAUUCAACAUGGAACGAGUGGCGGACGGGUGAGUAACACGUGGGUAACCUGCCCUUAAGUGGGGGAUAACAUUUGGAAACAGAUGCUAAUACCGCAUAGAUCCAAGAACCGCAUGGUUCUUGGCUGAAAGAUGGCGUAAGCUAUCGCUUUUGGAUGGACCCGCGGCGUAUUAGCUAGUUGGUGAGGUAAUGGCUCACCAAGGCGAUGAUACGUAGCCGAACUGAGAGGUUGAUCGGCCACAUUGGGACUGAGACACGGCCCAAACUCCUACGGGAGGCAGCAGUAGGGAAUCUUCCACAAUGGACGCAAGUCUGAUGGAGCAACGCCGCGUGAGUGAAGAAGGCUUUCGGGUCGUAAAACUCUGUUGUUGGAGAAGAAUGGUCGGCAGAGUAACUGUUGUCGGCGUGACGGUAUCCAACCAGAAAGCCACGGCUAACUACGUGCCAGCAGCCGCGGUAAUACGUAGGUGGCAAGCGUUAUCCGGAUUUAUUGGGCGUAAAGCGAGCGCAGGCGGUUUUUAAGUCUGAUGUGAAAGCCCUCGGCUUAACCGAGGAAGCGCAUCGGAAACUGGAAACUUGAGUGCAGAAGAGGACAGUGGAACUCCAUGUGUAGCGGUGAAAUGCGUAGAUAUAUGGAAGAACACCAGUGGCGAAGGCGGCUGUCUGGUCUGUAACUGACGCUGAGGCUCGAAAGCAUGGGUAGCGAACAGGAUUAGAUACCCUGGUAGUCCAUGCCGUAAACGAUGAAUGCUAGGUGUUGGAGGGUUUCCGCCCUUCAGUGCCGCAGCUAACGCAUUAAGCAUUCCGCCUGGGGAGUACGACCGCAAGGUUGAAACUCAAAGGAAUUGACGGGGGCCCGCACAAGCGGUGGAGCAUGUGGUUUAAUUCGAAGCAACGCGAAGAACCUUACCAGGUCUUGACAUCUUUUG
rnacentral:rRNA from 2 species